rnacentral:rRNA from 1 species
GACGAACGCUGGCGGCGUGCUUAACACAUGCAAGUCGAGCGGUGCGGCGAACGGGCGAGUAACGCGUGAGUAAUUGCCCCCCUCCCUGGGAUAACAGUUGGAAACGGCUGCUAAUACCGGAUAGUGGGGGAUGACUUGCGUCCUAUCAGCUUGUUGGGGGGGUAGUGGCCUACCAAGGCGACGGCGGGUAGCCGGCCUGAGAGGGCGACCGGCCACAUUGGGCUGGGGUAGGACCCAAACUCCUACGGGAGGCAGCAGUGGGGAAUAUUGCGCAAUGGGGGAAGCCCUGGUGCAGCAACGCCGCGUGCGGGAUGACGGUCUUCGGGGUGUAAACCGCUUUCAGCCAUGACGCGGUAGUGGCAGAAGAAGCACCGGCUAACUACGUGCCAGCAGCCGCGGUAAUAC